GCGGUGGUAGCUCAGUUGGUUAGAGUACUGGUACCUGUCACGCCAGUGGUCGCGGGUUCGAGCCCCGUCCACCGCGCCA
rnacentral:tRNA from 1 species